ACAAAGUGUUAAUCCCCCCUCUUUUCUCAUCCCCCUUCAUACACAAACACGUUACAGAGAAAGAGAAACAGAGAGGGAGAAAACAGCGAUCAUCAUACCAACCAAGAAAUACAUAUAACAUCGAUCCUUAUUGCCCCAAUUCAUCCUUGAUUUUGCUCACUUUGUUUUCACAUAGAUGAAGAGGUUCAACCCAACGAUUGCAUCAAAAUCUACACGGGUAACAUAUUAUUAUACAUCCGUGUUUUCGCUAUAAUCCUUAUUUAUGUUGGGGGUUUCAUUUAGUACAGAGUUCUUGAUUCAUUUUGCAUGUACUGUUUUUGUCAUACUCUUACUUACCGGUUUGUUUUAUGAUUCUGGGGUUGAGUUGUGGUUUCAUAGUCCGAGUACUGUUUUUGUGCUUUAUACUUCAAAAUAAAGUAAAAACUCUAUAAAAUAAUACACUUGCACCAUCAAAAUUUAUUAAUUAAAAGAGUUAUUAAUUAAUCGAUAAAUUAAUAAUUAUUAAUUUAUAUAUUAAUUAAUAUUUUAUUAAUUUAUAGUAGAAUACUUAGUUUACAAACACCUUUCAAGCUUCCACUUAAUUAUUGUAUACAAUGCAUGUAUAUCAAAUGAACGGCCCAAUUUGAAAGAAACCUUCAAUCUCCCACCUUAUUAUGCUUCUUGUGUUCAAUGUAUCACUUUAUGGACAUUAAAAAUAUUUUCUAUAUAAAUACAAGAUCAAACUAGGUUAACACAAACAAAUCAUACACACAACAUGGCUUCCCAUCUUAAAGGUGUGAAAAAAACAACAAUGACAGACGAGAUUCGAAGAGCAUUAUGCAAGCACAACAGGGAUAAUCCAAGUCUCACUCAAAAGCAAUUGCAAGAAUGGGUUCAUAGUAACUAUGGUUUGCAGGUGAGUCAAGCGACAAUAUCGAAUACAGUUAAGCGGUUUUUAGAGUAUCUCUCAAUUGAGUCAUUUUUCAAGAAACCUUCAUAAAUCAUUCAUGUAAUAUGCUAUAUAUAAGGAAUUAUUAAUUUAUAUUUUAUAUGGGGUCUAAAGAAAUUAUCAAAAAUGUAUUAUCUUAUAAUUUUAGUGAAUUAUUAAUUUAGCACCCUAUCCCCGAGUCGGAACCGGCAAAAAAUAUUAUAUUAGAGAGUUUAUUAAAUAAUCGAGUAUUAAUUUAUCGAGUUUCUACUAUAUAUAAAUAAAUGUGGUUGAUAAAGCUAAUUAUAAGUCUUCACUAAAGUUGAUUCCACAAAAUUCAAUUUCCCCCAAUUAUUGAUUGGUAAUUGAUUGAUUAAUUUGUUGAUUGAUCAUCUAGGGUUUGUGAUUAAAGGUCAGAUUUUUAUUGCUAUUUUGGUUAUGCUUUUGUUGUUUUUGUGUUUCUUUACUGAGCUUAUCAAAUGGGGUUCCAAGUAAAGAAGUCAGCAACCAAUCUGCUGGUCAAACUAAGAGACUUCUUCGUGUACGGAAAAAAGCUUCAGGUGAUUUGACUCCAACAACUCCAAAAGCUGUUAAGGCAAAACAUGCUGUGCAUGAUGAAGUAAAUUUACAUGUCUGAUACACAUGUUAAGCUUCAGAAGACAUUGGAACGAAUUUUGAUGCACCAAAGUUGCUUUUGAAUGCAUUGCAUGGACUACUUAGAGGAGUAAAUUUUUCUGAGUGUAACUUUUAAUAGUAUUUCUUGAUUUUGGUAGGAGGAUGAUUGUUUACAAUCUUAAAAGUGAGGUUUUUGUUUACAUACAAUAUUGUUUAUCUUUUUUACCUUGUGUAAAAUGUAUGUUGGAGAUUCUGCGUUCAGCUAGCUUGCAAAAAAAGAAAUAAAUAAAUAACUGUCAGUUUGUCUUGUUCUCUACCAAAAUAACUUAGUUUUGACAAUGAAGAGUGGAGAGCGAGCUGCAAAUAUCGCACUAGCAGAGUAAACAGUCAAAUGUGGUUUGGAGGCUGCGACAGGAUUAAAAGAGAAACAACCGGUCAACCGGUGAUUUCAAGAUUUGCGAGUAGUCGGAAGACGGUGAAAGUCAGUCUCGAAGGUCAGUUUUCUGAUUAAUUAAUUUUUACCCACCGGUUUUCAAUACGGACCCGCGGAGAACCCUAACCUUCGUGUUGUUGUUUACGGUAUGCUCUUCCCAGUUCUAAUAAUGUAUCUCGCGAUGUAAUUUUGUUCAAAUAAUCAUGAAUUGUCUGUUGUUGUUCAUUUGUUAUUGUCAUAUUGAUCGUGUAUCUAACUAUCUAAGCAAGUAAGCAUGCAAUUUUGUUAAGAAAAUAAAUUGGCCUUGGUUUGAGAGUGAACAUAUAUUUGAUUUGAAACUGUAGGGUUUUUAAUAUGUGAAAGAUAUGGGAUGGUUAAAAAUGCUUUCUUGAUGUUCAUCAAUCACCGGUGGAUGCCGACGAGGAGUUCAUGACCACUAAUACCACCUCAACACCGAGGGUUUUUAUCAAAGAAAUGGUCAUGAAGAGCAAGGAUGCUAAUGAUAGUACUGAACAAGCUUUGCUUGAUGAAUUGAAUGCAUUAGAUGAACACCUCAAGAGUAAAUGGAGAAAUGAUCUCAGCCGUUGAUUUGAGUCUGCCCCAAAGCUUUACCAUCUUGAGGUGGCUCUUGGUCAUUUUUGGUCAGAUUGUUUGAGAAGUCACUGUAGUAUGUGAAGUAUUUCAGUCGUUACAAGAAUACAGUUGCUGUUUGACAAGUUCGACAUUGAUUACAAUUUUUUUUAUUAACGAGAAAUUAAGUGGGUCAGUAUUUCCAAUGGUUACAACGAUUUUGUAGUGGAACUUAUCAAACCCGGAACAUGUGAUGAUAUAGUGAUUUGUACCAAGUGCAUUGGGAUACUGUACCUUUAU